AUUAACUUUUGACACACGAGACUUCUCAGUCCCCGACGGUGCCUCAAUUCGCUCACGCGUGCUGGCAAGUGCAGCGCGAUUACCGAAUUCAAUAUUAAUGCGAUGAGGCAAGAUUGGUCUACGUGAGAAAGUGCAACUUCGGGAAUUUUAACCUGGUAACAAAGGUCCGGUGCGAAAGGAGGGAAAAUAAACGAGCAAACAAUUCAAACUCUGGACGAUUGGACCAUUCUUUAACAAGGAUGCGUUUCCUAUUGGCGAUCGCAGGACUAUGCAUCUGGAUUUGGUGCGCUUUUACGUGUCCUACGAACGGUAUGAGCUUGUACGUGGAUAGCGACUUCAUCUACCUUCCCGACCAGGUGGAAUAUGUGAAGCUCGCCACCAAAUGUCCUGGGAACACAAUUCUGUGGCCGGGUACUCGUCGAUGCUACAGAGAAGGCGAGCAAGGUCCCUGCAACAUCGGUCGCGUUCUAGUUUUCGAUCGACGGCUGUUGAAACCGUACUGUAUGGACGUGGAUGGCAAGUAAAUGUAAAUGAAGGUAUUGUCGUUACCGGUGCACCGAGCUUUCGCCAAAGGUGGCAGCAAGCAUCCGGAAACCAUCCACCAAAUGUGAAUGAUCGAUUUGAUGAUUGAUAAAUUCAAAAUAUAACUUGCCCUUUAUAACAUAAGGCAGUCAUUUCCUUAAUCUUCUUAAUUUUACUAAUUUACAUGUACAUCAAUUAAAUAUUAUAAAUCAGAUAAAUUCAACAUAAGUCUGUCCGAUGAUCAUAGACUUACGCCUUUUAUAUUUUCAUAUGUUUUCUAUGAUUAUUUAAUCAAAUUCUUCACUUAUAUGUAAAGUAAGUCAAUCUGUGAUAUGAUUAAGUAUGUACAUGGUUAUUAUAUUAUAUUGUGUAAUAGGUGUAAUAGAAAUUUAAUAUUGAACGGGUUAUUUGCAUGGAUGGAAUAUUUAUAAUGUAUCUAUAAUAUAAACUCUAACAUCAAUGUCAUCUGUUUUAUACUUAAUACGAUUCUGUUGUUUCAUUACGUAUUUAUGUUAUGAGUCGACUGGUUCAUUUAAUUAAUGUAGGAACAGAAUAAUUUAAUUACCACAACAGAAUGACAGAAUUGUGAUCGUAAAAUAAUAAUGUACUUUUGUAAGUCGAAGUCAGUAUUGUAUUACUUUACUCUAAAAAUAAAGGUAUGUACACGUACAUUGGUAUUACUUUCAACACAAGACAAAAUUUCCAAUCAUGUAAUUUGUAUUAUUUAAAUUAUUAAUAUUGGUGUUUUAUUAUAUAAAUUGAUAUUUUUCAUGUUCAGGACUAAAUGAACUAAUAGGGCUUUGAAAUAGCAGUAAAUUGACAAUUUCAAUCGUGGAAGUACGUUUCUGCGAAACCAAAUUACGGUCUCCAAAUUAAAUGUACAUAUUUCGUGUAAUCGUUCCCUUCUAUACGAUCUGAAAAAAAAAGAGUAAAAUAGUAUGGAGGGAUGUUCAAUAAAAAACGAUGCAGAAUGGUA